AAGUCGUAACAAGGUUUCCGUAGGUGAACCUGCGGAAGGAUCAUUAAUAAAUGUACGCCUAGAGAGAGUCUUAAACCGCUUGAUCUAGUGCUGUAUAUAACCACCUGUUUACCUUUACCUGUUGCUUCCGUGGAAUUACGGGUGCUCUUUCUGUUCGCAGACUUGAGUUACCUUCCACGGGUGUAUUUAAAAAAUUGUCUUGCUGAAUUGUCUGAUAUAAAAUUUUAAUAAGUUAAAACUUUCAACAACGGAUCUCUAGGUUCUC
rnacentral:misc_RNA from 1 species